rnacentral:RNase_P_RNA from 1 species
UAGGUUAAGCGUGAGCCUUGAACCCAGAAAGUGAGGGGAGGAAAGUCCGAGCACCACUCUUAGUUCGAACAGUUCCUAACAGGAACCAAGAGUAAUCUUAGGGAAAGUGCCACAGAGACAAUACUAACCAUGAUAAGGUAACCCUUCGGCUGAUUUGCUUUGCAAAUUUGCUCAGGGUGACCACUUCGUGGCCAAAGGUGAAAAGUUAUAAGAAGUGAUAUGCGGAGAGUUAGGCCAAACCUGAUAAUCCGCGCUUGCUACUUGUAAGGCCUCCGCGUGAGCGGAGUGUCCCGGUAAACCCUGUUCGGUGCAAGUUGGGUGGGUCAGGAUCUAUCAAUAUUUUGAGCUAAGAAUAGAUAGAUUCGGAUCCCAACGCAUGAAUCAGUUGGCAACAACGUUUGUAGUCCAUGUAUAGAUUUAUGAGCUACAGAUAAAAAUAGAUAUUGCGCAUAGAAAUUAGUGAGGGGACAGAACUCGGCUUAUAGCUGACAGA